CCUACGGGAGGCUGCAGUGGGGAAUAUUGCACAAUGGGGGAAACCCUGAUGCAGCAACGCCGCGUGGGUGAAGGAGCGUUUCGGCACGUAAAGCCCUGUCAGCGGGGAAGAAGAAAGACGGUACCCGACCAAGAAGCCCCUGCUAAAUACGUGCCAGGAGCCGCGGUAAUACGUAGGGGGCGCGCGUUAUCCGGAAUUACUGGGUGUAAAGGGAGCGGAGACGGCGCGGGAAGCCUGAGGUGGACGCCCGCGGCACAAACACGGAACUGCUGUGGGGGCUGUUUGGUUGGAGUAUGGGAGGGGGAAGCGGAAUUCCUGGUGUAGCGGUGAAAUGCGUAGAUAUCAGGAGGAACACCGGUGGCGAAGGCGGCUUACUGGACCAUAACUGACGCUGAGGCUCGAAAGCGUGGGGAGCGAACAGGAUUAGAUACCCGUGUAGUC
rnacentral:rRNA from 1 species